rnacentral:misc_RNA from 1 species
UACGAAGGGGGCUAGCGUUGCUCGGAAUUACUGGGCGUAAAGGGAGCGUAGGCGGGUUAUCAAGUUGGAGGUGAAAGCCCAGGGCUCAACCUUGGAAUUGCCUUCAAAACUGAUAACCUUGAGUAUGGGAGAGGUAAGUGGAACUCCGAGUGUAGAGGUGAAAUUCGUAGAUAUUCGGAAGAACACCAGUGGCGAAGGCGACUUACUGGCCCAUUACUGACGCUGAGGCUCGAAAGCGUGGGGAGCAAACAGG